GGAUAACCAUCGGGGUAAUUGCCGAUACGUUUUCUGUGUCUCCGAGCACAAUUAGGAGGGAAAUGACGGAGGAAGGUCUAAGGUUGAUGAGGAUUAUGGUGUGGACUGGACAGGACAACAUAAUCGCCGCCCAUCAAAUGAGAUCACCAUUCCUGAGAUUCAGCUCCCAGAUGCACUGAAUGAACAAGACCCUGCUGUGCUACCAAUACUUCAAAAUCACUUGUAGAAAGACAUUAUUACAUUUAAUCAGUUUCUAUGUCAGGAGGAUUUUUAUUUUUUUUUUUAAUUUCUACAGCUUUGUAGCUAAUACUGACUCAAAACAGCAUAACCAAUUUCAUUUUCAACAAAACAGUGAGUGGCUAUAAAACAGGAUUUGUUUUAUACAGCUGUCACUUUAAUGAUAUUCAUUUCUUGGUUGGAUAUACAGUACAUGUCAACUCUGAGCAGAUUUAAUACAAUGAACACAGUACAGUAGUGUAACAUCUUAAUUCAAAUAAUUUUUUCUUGUAUCAGUAGCGAGUAUAAACAAAACAUAUUGUGUAAUUUAUAAUGUACAGUGAACAACUGAUUUUGAUAUCUGAACUCUUCAUCAGUUUAUAUUAAAAAAGCCAUAAAUGCACACCUGUAGUGUGUAUUUUUCACUGUCAAGUGUAUUAAAAAGAACUAGAACUCA